rnacentral:rRNA from 1 species
CAGUCGCCGCGGGAAUACAGAGGGUGCAAGCGUUAAUCGGAAUUACUGGGCGUAAAGCGCGCGUAGGUGGUUCGCCAAGUUGGAUGUGAAAUCCCCGGGCUCAACCUGGGAACUGCAUUUGUGACUGUAUAGCUAGAGUACGGCAGAGGGGGAUGGAAUUCCGCGUGUAGCAGUGAAAUGCGUAGAUAUGCGGAGGAACACCGAUGGCGAAGGCAAUCCCCUGGGCCUGUACUGACGCUCAUGCACGAAAGCGUGGGGAGCAAACAGGAUUAGAUACCCCUGUAGUCCCUGUCUCUUAUAC